CACCCGAUAGGGUUUCCUUCUCUCCUUCUGACCUUUGGCGGCGGCUCCUUCCUCUACAGCUCCGAUCUGUGCCCCUCCUCGUCGGGCUCAACUCUCCUUCCUCCUCUGGCGCAACAGCAAGUAGCGAGGUGUCCCUGCUCUGAUGGAUCCUAUGAAAAGAGCUACAUCAGAUGAUCCAGUUUGGAAGUAUGGGUUUUGGCCAGAUUUAGAGAGGAAAGAUUUACUCCAGUGUACAUUUUGUGGAAAGAUCGUCCAUGCUGGCAUGAGAAGGCUCAAGCAACACCUUUCUGGGGGUUGCAGUGAUGCAGAUAUGUGUCCCGAGGCAUCCAUGAAGAUUAUGAUAGAGAUGCGCAAAUCCUUAAACACUAGAAAGUUUAAAGCUAUGGAGCGAUAUAUUGAUGAGAAGCAUGAAGCUGAAGUUUUUCCUGUGGAUGAACAUGUCGAAUGGCUUAGCCAAAAAUAUUGUUUUAUCUCACAACCGUCAGGUAUAUGUACAUGUGGUUUCGUCUGUACGAGUUCCUUAACUAUGUCCCACGUCUUCUUGUUUGCUGCCUC